rnacentral:rRNA from 1 species
UACGUAGGGGGCGAGCGUUGUCCGGAUUUAUUGGGCGUAAAGGGCUCGUAGGCGGUUUGUCGCGUCGGGAGUGAAAACCAGAGGCUUAACUUCUGGCUUGCUUUCGAUACGGGCAGACUUGAGGCAUGCAGGGGAGAACGGAAUUCCUGGUGUAGCGGUGAAAUGCGCAGAUAUCAGGAGGAACACCGGUGGCGAAGGCGGUUCUCUGGGCCGAUACUGACGCUGAGGAGCGAAAGCGUGGGGAGCGAACAGG